UGAUUUUGGUCGCCAACGAGUGGCGGACGGGUGAGUAACACGUAGGUAACCUGCCCAGAAGCGGGGGACAACAUUUGGAAACAGAUGCUAAUACCGCAUAACAGCGUUGUUCGCAUGAACAACGCUUAAAAGAUGGCUUCUCGCUAUCACUUCUGGAUGGACCUGCGGUGCAUUAGCUUGUUGGUGGGGUAACGGCCUACCAAGGCGAUGAUGCAUAGCCGAGUUGAGAGACUGAUCGGCCACAAUGGGACUGAGACACGGCCCAUACUCCUACGGGAGGCAGCAGUAGGGAAUCUUCCACAAUGGGCGCAAGCCUGAUGGAGCAACACCGCGUGAGUGAAGAAGGGUUUCGGCUCGUAAAGCUCUGUUGUUAAAGAAGAACACGUAUGAGAGUAACUGUUCAUACGUUGACGGUAUUUAACCAGAAAGUCACGGCUAACUACGUGCCAGCAGCCGCGGUAAUACGUAGGUGGCAAGCGUUAUCCGGAUUUAUUGGGCGUAAAGAGAGUGCAGGCGGUUUUCUAAGUCUGAUGUGAAAGCCUUCGGCUUAACCGGAGAAGUGCAUCGGAAACUGGAUAACUUGAGUGCAGAAGAGGGUAGUGGAACUCCAUGUGUAGCGGUGGAAUGCGUAGAUAUAUGGAAGAACACCAGUGGCGAAGGCGGCUACCUGGUCUGCAACUGACGCUGAGACUCGAAAGCAUGGGUAGCGAACAGGAUUAGAUACCCUGGUAGUCCAUGCCGUAAACGAUGAGUGCUAGGUGUUGGAGGGUUUCCGCCCUUCAGUGCCGGAGCUAACGCAUUAAGCACUCCGCCUGGGGAGUACGACCGCAAGGUUGAAACUCAAAGGAAUUGACGGGGGCCCGCACAAGCGGUGGAGCAUGUGGUUUAAUUCGAAGCUACGCGAAGAACCUUACCAGGUCUUGACAUCUUGCGCCAACCCUAGAGAUAGGGCGUUUCCUUCGGGAACGCAAAGACAGGUGGUGCAUGGUCGUCGUCAGCUCGUGUCGUGAGAUGUUGGGUUAAGUCCCGCAACGAGCGCAACCCUUGUUACUAGUUGCCAGCAUUAAGUUGGGCACUCUAGUGAGACUGCCGGUGACAAACCGGAGGAAGGUGGGGACGACGUCAGAUCAUCAUGCCCCUUAUGACCUGGGCUACACACGUGCUACAAUGGACGGUACAACGAGUCGCGAACUCGCGAGGGCAAGCAAAUCUCUUAAAACCGUUCUCAGUUCGGACUGCAGGCUGCAACUCGCCUGCACGAAGUCGGAAUCGCUAGUAAUCGCGGAUCAGCAUGCCGCGGUGAAUACGUUCCCGGGCCUUGUACACACCGCCCGUC
rnacentral:rRNA from 2 species